AUAAUAUUUUAACUAAAAAACCAACACGGCAACACUAAAAACAAAUGAAUUAAAGAAAAAAUUAUAUUCUAAAAUUCAUGAGACAGUACCUAAUCGCCUACAAUAUAUUUCAAAACGUUUUAUCAACGCAAUUCACCAGUCAAAAUUAUGAACACCGUAUAAGCAACCGUGAAUAGUUGUUGUGAAGUACAGGUAAAAUAAAUAAAUGCUCAGGCUAUAGUACAUUGCUGUAAUGAUAUUAACAUAUGCGGACGUGGAUUAAAAAUUAGGGAUUAGAUAGUUUCUAAUUUAACAACCCUACUAUUAAAAUAGAAAAGAGGAACAGAUGGGUGAUUCCAGUACAAUCAAUAACAGCAAAGUAGUAAACGAGGAAAAAAACAUUAAGCAGCACCUAUCAACAAGUACACUCUUCAUAGAACAAGGAAACCCAUCACAGUGGAAAAAAGAAUUGAAGCGAUGAAUAGAAUAUAAUUUAAUUUUUUGAUACAUAACCCAAUAGAUAAGCUAAAACCAUAUUGUAUUAUUAGUCUAUGAAAAACAUUGGUUUUUGGUAAAAAUAGUGCAUCACAUCAGUACUUUUCCCAACUCUCAGAGUUAAUUUCUAUCUUCUUAUUAUUACAUAUUUUUAGGUCAAAAUUUUUAAUAACUCCUUAUAUUGUAUUUAUUAUAGAAUAACAAUUUCAUGGUAUACAAACAUAGGAAUCCUAAUAAAUACCAACACCACUUACAAAGAGACUUAGGAACUACCACAGUAAAAACUACUGCAGAAACCACGCAUAUACUAUCAAAUGUGAACUAAAUUUAUCAUGCAGGUUUCAAUCUGACGACAUAAGUGAACGUAAAAUUCAAUGAACAAUAAGGGACUAGACUAAUUCUAAUAAUUUUUGGGACAUUAAGGAACAAAAAUUAAUCACAUUCCUUUUUAGAUUGUCAAGAUAAACAGCUGGAUAAUUCCAGCACAACGUUAAUAGCAGCAAAGCCCAUACUGAGGAAAUAACAUAUCUGGCAGCAAUAACACACAAGUACACGAACAGAAUAAACAAGUGACUCGAGAGUAAAAAACUGGAUCAAGACAAGCAGCAAAAUAUUAUUUUAUUCUUUUGAUACAAAACCCGUAACAUUAGCCCUAACUAUUUUAUAAAAUUAUUUUAUACAUAAUAUAUCCCUAUAAGAUUAUAAGAUGUGUUCGAGGAACUCUCAGACUUAAAUGAUCAAUCACUAUGUACGCACUCACACAGCUAAUAAAUAAAAUUGUUAAUAUAUUGCCUAUAUCCAACCCCUUGAAAAAGGUAUGCUUUCAACAGCCUUAGUUGUUAAUAUGUGUAAAUAUGACUAUUUUGUUAAAAAUUUGCUAAUUUAAGACAUAAGAUUUCAUAUUAACACAUCAAACUAUAGCCAUCAGAUGUAAUUUAAAAUUUAGAAAAAAUAUAAUAUUACUCAUUGAAUAAAAUGAUAACAUUAAAUGUAUUAAAAAAUAAAAACUAAUUUAUAAUUUUUAAAUAUUAACUUUUGUGUAAAUAUGAAUAUUUUGUUAAUAAUUUGCUAAUUUAAAACAUAAGAUUUCAUAUCUUACACAUCAAACUAUACACAUCAGAUGAAAUUUAAAAUUUAGAAAAAACAUAUUAUAACUCAUUGAAAAAAAUUAAAAUAUUAAGUUAAUAAAAGAAAAAAACAAAUUUUUAAUUUUUAAUUAUUAAUAUGUGUUCGAGGAACUCACAGAUUUAAAUGAUCAAUCACUAUGUACGCACUCACACAGCUAAUAAAUAAAAUUGUUAAUAUAUUGCCUAUAUCCAACCCCUUGAAAACGGUAUGCUUUCAACAGCCUUAGUUGUUAAUAUGUGUAAAUAUGGCUAAUUUGUUAAUUAUUUGCUAAUUUAAGAAAUAAGAUUUCAUUUCUAAAACAUGAUAUUAUAGUCAUUACAUGAAUUUUAAAAUUUGGGAAAAAUAUACUAUAGCUUAUUGUAUAAUAUGAUAACCUUCAAUUUAUAAAAAAAAAAUUACUAGUUUUUUAUUUUUAAUACAUGUGUAAAUAUGACAGUUUUGUUAAUUAUUUGCUAAUUUAACAAAUAAGAUUUCAGUUCUAACAUAUUAAAUUAUUUCCACAAUGUUCAUUUUAAAAUUUAGAAAAAAUUUAUUAUAGCUUAUUGAAUAAAAUGGUAAUGUUAAAUUUAUAAAAAAAUAAAAACUAAUUUUU